UCUGUGAACUCCUACGGGAGGCAGCAGUGGGGAAUAUUGCACAAUGGGCGAAAGCCUGAUGCAGCGACGCCGCGUGGGGGAUGACGGCCUUCGGGUUGUAAACCCCUUUCAGUAGGGAAGAAGCGAGAGUGACGGUACCUGCAGAAGAAGCGCCGGCUAACUACGUGCCAGCAGCCGCGGUAAUACGUAGGGCGCAAGCGUUGUCCGGAAUUAUUGGGCGUAAAGAGCUUGUAGGUGGCUUGUCGCGUCUGCCGUGAAAACCCGAGGCUCAACCUCGGGCGUGCGGUGGGUACGGGCAGGCUAGAGUGUGGUAGGGGAGACUGGAACUCCUGGUGUAGCGGUGAAAUGCGCAGAUAUCAGGAAGAACACCGAUGGCGAAGGCAGGUCUCUGGGCUGUUACUGACGCUGAGGAGCGAAAGCAUGGGGAGCGAACAGGAUUAGAAACCCCAGUAGUCCAUCAGCG
rnacentral:rRNA from 1 species